rnacentral:rRNA from 1 species
CAGUCGCCGCGGGAAUACGUAGGUGGCGAGCGUUGUCCGGAAUUAUUGGGCGUAAAGGGAGCGCAGGCGGGCGAGUAAGUCUUUCUUAAAAGUGCGGGGCUCAACCCCGUGAGGGGAGAGAAACUACUCAUCUUGAGUGCAGGAGAGGAAAGCGGAAUUCCUAGUGUAGCGGUGAAAUGCGUAGAUAUUAGGAAGAACACCAGUGGCGAAGGCGGCUUUCUGGACUGUAACUGACGCUGAGGCUCGAAAGCCAGGGGAGCGAACGGGAUUAGAUACCCCCGUAGUCCCUGUCUCUUAUACC